rnacentral:rRNA from 1 species
UACGGGGGGAGCAAACGUUGUUCGGAAUUACUGGGCGUAAAGGGUGCGCAGGCGGCUCGGUUAGUGGAAUGUGAAAUGCCCUGGCUUAACCAGGGAACUGCAUUCCAUACUGCCGGGCUUGAGUAUAGGAGAGGAUGGGGGAAUUCCCGGUGUAGCGGUGAAAUGCAUUGAUAUCGGGAGGAACACCAGUGGCGAAGGCGCCCAUCUGGCCUAAUACUGACGCUGAGGCACGAAAGCUAGGGGAGCAAACAGG